UCGGUACUAUAUUUUCGUGUUCGGUACUUUAUUUCCGUGUUCGGUACUUAACUAUUAACAUUUUUCUCUGUGAAUUAUUUCGUAAAUAUAGAAGGUGCAGUGAAUAGUUGAAAAACCUUACUAUCCGAAAGUUUUAGUCUGCAAGCCUCUACUUUUUCCGUCCAGUGCGAUAGUUUGCCGUGUUUUACAAUAAGUGGAAGUAGUGUUUGUCACUCGUGUCGGUUGUCAUCGUGCGAAUUUUCGGUAGUGUCUUUUCAGUGAUAUUUCUGUGAAAUUUGAUUUGAGGAUAUAGUUUCGGAAGUCAAUUUGCUCAAGUGUAUUCUUCAGCGUUGAUUCGCCAACAUUUGAGAAGGCGAUGAACGAGGAUGGAAAUCUUCACCCUACGCAUCAGAGCUGUUCCUGACCUUGCAGAUCAUCGCUUCUUCACGG